UGAGCAAUCUGCCCUUCUCAUCGGAAUAAGCGUUGGGAACGACGUCUAAUGCCGAAUACGACCUCCUUUCGCAUGAUCGGAGGUGGAAAGCUCCGGCGGAGAAGGAUGAGCUCGCGGCCUAUCAGCUAGUUGGUGUGGGUAAUGGCCCACCAAGGCGACGACGGGUAGCCGGCCUGAGAGGGUGACCGGCCACACUGGGACUGAGACACGGCCCAGACUCCGUACGGGAGCAG
rnacentral:rRNA from 1 species